AGCAACACGAUGGGACUAGCUAAGGCUA
rnacentral:sRNA from 1 species